UACAACUUCUACCACUUCAUCACCAUGGGAUUUGGUUUAAGAAACCACACUUCUCUACCGACAAAUAUAGCUGGAGUUGUUGUACCAGUUGCUGUGGGAUCGAGCAGUCAUAUUAAUAUCACGGUCAUGUUCCUUUAUGUUGGAGGUGAAAUUCACUUCAGAAUGAAGCGCGCUCAUGAAUACUUUCUGUGAGAUUAAACAAAUUGUUGCCAGUGAAUACGUGAAGAUCUAUUUCUUAUAUGAUGGUAAACGGAUCAAACCAGAGGAUACCCCUAAUCAACUUGGAAUGGAAGAUGAGGGGAUGAAAUUGAUUUCUUCAUGGAGAUGUCUGGCGGUGGUUAUUGAAGAAGCCACAAAAUGCGAAGAAGAUUCUAGUAGCUUGUAUUUUUCUUCUACCACUUUCUUCUCUACUGUUCUUGUGUUGUCCCGUCUCGCACAGCUUCAAUUUGGUUAAGCAAGAAAAUGAUGAGUGAUUCUCUGUGCAUCUGAGAUAAGUAAAUGAGGGUCAUUCUUUGUGUUCAUCAAGAGACAACAGCUUAUAAUUUUACUAAUAACUAAUUCAAGUUCUAACUGAUAUCCCCAUUCUAAACAACCAAUCUUCAUGAGCUACAUUUGCACUGCACUAGUCGCAUUAUUCACCAUUAGCUGCACAUGAGGGAAUGAAGAGAACACAAAGAACCCACUUUAGACCCUCCAAUCUCCAUAGAUCUAUGGAAGUGUGGUAAUAUCUAGUUGAGAUAAACUGAAACAAGAUAUCACCUGGAACAUUUCACCGGUUCAAUCAGAAACAUGUAUGUUAUAAUUGUCAGGAAGAGCAUGCUUUUGUCUGCAUCUAGAAAGUGUGAACAUGAUAUUAUCACCCGCAUCUACAAAGUAUGAACAUAUGACAUUGUAACCCCAGGAAAAUACAAUUAAAUCCGCCUGCGUUACAACUUGUAUUGGUACCUAUAAAAUUAUUUAUUUCAUUCAUGAAAAGAAAAAUCCGUACACCUAUCAAUUUGUGAUGCAUAGAAUUAACCCCCAGCCACAACAAAUCCGUCACGGACGGCCUUAUCAAGUUGACGGCUUCAUGCAAGAGAAGAACCUCCGGGGCCAGGACAAAAUUUGGAAAUCUAAACUACUUAUAUUUGACUUGAAU